UGUUAAACAGGUACAGGUCAGUUAGUUAACGUCUGCAGUUAGUGAUGGGGCAGUGAGGCGUUCAGGGGACAGCAGAAGGACUCCAGGCUGAAGGAGAACUCAACUCAACAGAGCCUGGUGUUAGGCUGGUGGGAGGAGAGAGUCGCUGUGCAGGAGCUCUGGAGCUGGAACAUCAGGGAGAAUGGAGACCAGUG